ensembl:snoRNA
UAGGCCAAAAGAAAUGUCUUUCUAGUUUCUGUUAGCCAUUUCAAAACUUUGUAAAUGUAAUGACCAAUUCAUUAGAAAGAAACAUCU